rnacentral:rRNA from 1 species
GUCGAACGAGUUCUCGUUGAUGAUCGGUGCUUGCACCGAGAUUCAACAUGGAACGAGUGGCGGACGGGUGAGUAACACGUGGGUAACCUGCCCUUAAGUGGGGGAUAACAUUUGGAAACAGAUGCUAAUACCGCAUAGAUCCAAGAACCGCAUGGUUCUUGGCUGAAAGAUGGCGUAAGCUAUCGCUUUUGGAUGGACCCGCGGCGUAUUAGCUAGUUGGUGAGGUAAUGGCUCACCAAGGCGAUGAUACGUAGCCGAACUGAGAGGUUGAUCGGCCACAUUGGGACUGAGACACGGCCCAAACUCCUACGGGAGGCAGCAGUAGGGAAUCUUCCACAAUGGACGCAAGUCUGAUGGAGCAACGCCGCGUGAGUGAAGAAGGCUUUCGGGUCGUAAAACUCUGUUGUUGGAGAAGAAUGGUCGGCAGAGUAACUGUUGUCGGCGUGACGGUAUCCAACCAGAAAGCCACGGCUAACUACGUGCCAGCAGCCGCGGUAAUACGUAGGUGGCAAGCGUUAUCCGGAUUUAUUGGGCGUAAAGCGAGCGCAGGCGGUUUUUUAAGUCUGAUGUGAAAGCCCUCGGCUUAACCGAGGAAGCGCAUCGGAAACUGGGAAACUUGAGUGCAGAAGAGGACAGUGGAACUCCAUGUGUAGCGGUGAAAUGCGUAGAUAUAUGGAAGAACACCAGUGGCGAAGGCGGCUGUCUGGUCUGUAACUGACGCUGAGGCUCGAAAGCAUGGGUAGCGAACAGGAUUAGAUACCCUGGUAGUCCAUGCCGUAAACGAUGAAUGCUAGGUGUUGGAGGGUUUCCGCCCUUCAGUGCCGCAGCUAACGCAUUAAGCAUUCCGCCUGGGGAGUACGACCGCAAGGUUGAAACUCAAAGGAAUUGACGGGGGCCCGCACAAGCGGUGGAGCAUGUGGUUUAAUUCGAAGCAACGCGAAGAACCUUACCAGGUCUUGACAUCUUUUGAUCACCUGAGAGAUCAGGUUUCCCCUUCGGGGGCAAAAUGACAGGUGGUGCAUGGUUGUCGUCAGCUCGUGUCGUGAGAUGUUGGGUUAAGUCCCGCAACGAGCGCAACCCUUAUGACUAGUUGCCAGCAUUUAGUUGGGCACUCUAGUAAGACUGCCGGUGACAAACCGGAGGAAGGUGGGGAUGACGUCAAAUCAUCAUGCCCCUUAUGACCUGGGCUACACACGUGCUACAAUGGAUGGUACAACGAGUUGCGAGACCGCGAGGUCAAGCUAAUCUCUUAAAGCCAUUCUCAGUUCGG